CCACCCCUGGCUUCCACGCACCGGGAGUGCCAGUUACAUCCCUCCCCAGAUAUGAAGAUCAAAACCGUCUUUCAAUGUAGCCAAACGUCCCUGGGGCAGGAUCUGCUGGUGAGACCCACAGCCUUGGCUUGGCUCAGAAGUCAGCUGCGUGGAACCCUGAACAUGCUGUUUACAAAGCACAGCCUGCUGUCACCCACUCUCCCUGUGCGGGCAGAUUCCUCCUGGGAACUGCAAUUUGCCAACCCUUGAUCUGUGCAGAAAGAAAUGGAACACCAAACUAAGAAAAGAUGCUAAAAACAAACCAAGAGUCACUUGAUAAAAGCAGACAAAAAAGCAAACUUGAUAACAUGAAGCUCUGCCAUGGUGGGGCUCUCUGGACACUGAGAAUGAGACUCGUUCCCCGGCAGCAGCUCCUGGUGUGUUCCCUUUGGGGACAUGCUUAAAGGAGACAUGAACCACGGCCGACAUCUGGCACGGGUUCAAGAUGUCACCUGGAGGAGGAAGGGAGGGAAGAGCCAGCCCACACGGAGCCAGUGCCAACUGCAUCAGAACUGCUGAAGCGCGUGGACCCCUGGGACGGGGAUCAUUUCAAGGCCCCCAGGAUGCCAGCAACGUGGACAGUAACCGACCCCUACGCACACACAGUACAGAGCGUGACACGCUGGACAACGCCCUGCGAGGUACACAGGACUGAACCGAGGGGCACUCAACCCCUGAGCCA